GCACCCUUAGAACAAACGGAUAGUUCCCCUGUCUUCUAAACAGUUAGUUACAGGUUCGAAUCCUGUAGGGUGUGCCA
rnacentral:tRNA from 1 species